rnacentral:lncRNA from 1 species
UUUCGGGUACUUACAACCCUGGAUAGAAGAACCAUCCAAAUUUCAGGUGGAGGAAUGACCAACCUCAACAAGUAUAUAACCCAACUCCCUCACCUCCGCAACCUCAUUAUGCACAUGCACCCCCUCAAAAAUCCAGUCUCGAAGAAACUUUGCAAUCUUUCAUGCAAGGUCAAGCUAAAAUCAAUGAUGAAAUAAGAAAUCAACUAACAA